GAGAAGUUAGUUAAAAUAUAACAUAAAAUUGUCAAUUUUAAAUUACUAUUACUUAUAGUACUACUCA
rnacentral:tRNA from 1 species